GAGAGAGUCCCCCACAUUGGAACUGAGACACGGUCCAAACUCCUACGGGAGGCAGCAG
rnacentral:rRNA from 1 species